AGAAAGCUUGCUUUCUUGCUGACGAGCGGCGGACGGGUGAGUAAUGUAUGGGGAUCUGCCCGAUAGAGGGGGAUAACUACUGGAAACGGUGGCUAAUACCGCAUGACGUCUACGGACCAAAGCAGGGGCUCUUCGGACCUUGCGCUAUCGGAUGAACCCAUAUGGGAUUAGCUAGUAGGUGAGGUAAUGGCUCACCUAGGC
rnacentral:rRNA from 1 species